UUUUAUUUGAGAGUUUGAUCCUGGCUCAGGAUGAACGCUGGCGGCGUGCCUAACACAUGCAAGUUGAGCGAUUUACUU
rnacentral:rRNA from 1 species